GAUGAACGCUGGCGGUAUGCUUAACACAUGCAAGUCGUACGGAACCUUUUUUGCUUGCAGAAAAGUUUUAGUGGCGAACGGGUGAGUAACGCGUAAGAAUCUGCCCUCAGGAAGGGGAUAACAGUGGGAAACUACUGCUAAUACCCUAUAAGCGCAUGCGUAAAAGCCUUCGGGCACCUGGGGAUGAGCUUGCGUCUGAUUAGCUAGUUGGUGAGGUAAUGGCUUACCAAGGCGAUGAUCAGUAGCUGGUCUGAGAGGAUGAUCAGCCACACUGGGACUGAGACACGGCCCAGACUUCUACGGAGCAGCAGUGGGGAAUUUCCGCAAUGGGCGCAAGCCUGACGGAGCAAUACCGCGUGGAGGAUGACGGCCU
rnacentral:rRNA from 1 species